rnacentral:rRNA from 1 species
AAAUCUAGAGCUAAUACAUGCAUAAAAACCUUUUUGUUUUAACAAAUUGGUUAAAUUAUCGUUUCAAAACUAACGGGUUCGCCCUGUUUUGUUAACUCAUGAUAAUUAAUGACCGUUCUUUAAUGAAUGGAUAUUCAUAUUUGGUAUCUGCCCUAUCAACUAUAUGACAGUCUAUUGUACGGUCAUGGUUGUGCCGGGUAACGGAGAAUUAGGGUUCGUCUCCGGAGAGAAUGCCUUAGAAACGGCUUUCACUUCCAAGGAAGGCAGCAGGCGCGAAAAUUACCCAUUCUCAGAACGAGGAGGUAGUGACGUGAAAUGGCUUUAAUUCUUACGAAUUGAAGCAUUGGAAUGGUUGAAUUUUAAAUCAUUCAAGAUUAUCAAUGAGAGGGCAAGUCUGGUGCCAGCAGCCGCGGUAAUUCCAGCUCUCAUACUACAUUGAACUGCUGUUGCGGUUAAAAGUUCGUAGUUGCAAUGUACAUAUAAAUGUGGUUAUCAUUUUAUUAUGGUAUAACUGCAUUUGUGUUAUUAUAUUUCUUUACGGAAAAUAUAAUGAUACCCUGAGUAAGCAAGUGCUCAGAACAGCUAUUGCUUGCUGGAACGAAUACAUUAGUUGACGUUUGUUGGUUUACAGCUAUGUAUGAUUAUAGGGAUAACGGGG